UCCUGGUUAACCCAGGCAGUCUCAUUAGAGUUCCCACCUUAAAUGUUGGCAACUAAUGAUAAGGGUUGCGCUCGUUGCUGGACUUAACCAAACACCUCACGGCACGAGCUGACGACAGCCAUGCAGCACCUGUGCACCGACCCCGAAGGGAGACGCCAUCUCUGGCGUUGUCCGGUGCAUGUCAAGCCUGGGUAAGGUUCUUCGCGUUGCAUCGAAUUAAACCACAUGCUCCACUGCUUGUGCGGGUCCCCGUCAAUUCUUUUGAGUUUCAGCCUUGCGACUGUACUCCCCAGGCGGUAUACUUAUCGCGUUAGCUACGGCACAGCCAGGGUUGAGUCCGGCUACACCAAGUAUACAUCGUUUACGGCAAGGACUAC
rnacentral:misc_RNA from 1 species